UACGGAGGGUGCAAGCGUUAUCCGGAUUCACUGGGUUUAAAGGGUGCGUAGGUGGGCAGGUAAGUCAGUGGUGAAAUCUCCGGGCUUAACUCGGAAACUGCCAUUGAUACUAUCUGUCUUGAAUACCGUGGAGGUCGGCGGAAUAUGUCAUGUAGCGGUGAAAUGCUUAGAUAUGACAUAGAACACCAAUUGCGAAGGCAGCUGGCUACACGAAUAUUGACACUGAUGCACGAAAGCGUGGGGAUCAAACAGG
rnacentral:rRNA from 1 species